rnacentral:lncRNA from 1 species
UCCAUUCUUUUCAUUUGUUGAUUGCUUGUAACCAUUAUCAACCUCUUCUUCAUCUUUAUAUAAUCCUGCAUCAAUAGCAUGAUUCAUUCAAGCUUCGCCCAUUAAUUAUCUCUUUUACUUAAUGCUGUCAAUGAUAACAUCAUGAAACUCCUUCUUUAUAAUUCCUAAAUUUCUUUCAAUGUGAAUUCCACCUUAACAUUUAAUAUACGUUCUUCCAAUACGCCUUUUAAAUUUGUUGCCGCUUCAAUAUCAGAAAGUAGCUUAUAAGAAGUUGAUUUACCCUUUUCUUUUGUUUCUUUUGUUUUUUUCUUCAAAUAGUGCUGAAGUAUCCUUUAUAGGUAAUUCUUGUGAAGCCACCUUACGAGCCUUGUCUCAUCAAGUUUGCCUCUUAGAAGAAUUUCCUUCUCUUGUAUCAUGAAAAUUUUCUUGUCUCUUUUCUUCCAUCAAAGCUUCAUGUUGGCUCUUAGCAAUAUAUGCAUGAA